GCGGGCGAGAGGAGCGGAUCGAAGCGGAGCGGGAGCGGGGCCGGAGCGCAGCGCUGGGGCCCGGCCGCGUCCGCCGCGCUCUCCCCGUCUGGUCACACCCCCUACACCCCGCGACCCCGCCGGGCACAGCGCACAGGCGGCUCCCGGCGCUGCAGGUGCUCAGAUUGGCCAGCAGAGAACAUUUGAGCAGACAGAACACUGUUGCAGGACAUUUUGUGCUGUUCUUUGUUUAAUUGCUCCCUUCACUGGAUAUCAUGAAUGUCUUGUCUGUUAUUGAGAAUUUCAGACUUGAUACAGAAUUCCUGAUUAUCU